rnacentral:rRNA from 1 species
AACGAACGCUGGCGGCAUGCCUAACACAUGCAAGUCGAACGAGACCUUCGGGUCUAGUGGCGCACGGGUGCGUAACGCGUGGGAACCUGCCCUUAGGUUCGGAAUAACUCCCCGAAAGGGGUGCUAAUACCGGAUAAUGUCUUCGGACCAAAGAUUUAUCGCCUUUGGAUGGGCCCGCGUUGGAUUAGCUAGUUGGUAGGGUAAAAGCCUACCAGGGCGACGAUCCAUAGCUGGUCUGAGAGGAUGAUCAGCCACACUGGGACUGAGACACGGCCCAGACUCCUACGGGAGGCAGCAGUGGGGAAUAUUGGACAAUGGGCGAAAGCCUGAUCCAGCAAUGCCGCGUGAGUGAUGAAGGCCUUAGGGUUGUAAAGCUCUUUUACCCGGGAUGAUAGUGACAGUACCGGGAGAAUAAGCUCCGGCUAACUCCGUG